rnacentral:rRNA from 1 species
AGAGUUUGAUCAUGGCUCAGGACUAACGCUGGCGGCACGCCUAACACAUGCAAGUCGCACGAGAAACUUCGUAGCAAUACGGGGCUGUAAAGUGGCGAACGGGUGAGUAAUGCAUGGGUGACCUGUCCUCAAGAUGGGAAUAACCUCGCGAAAGCGGGGCUAAUACCCAAUGUCAUCCCGGUCUUUCGGGAUCGGGAUGAAAGAUAGCUGUUACAGGCUUUCGCUUGAGGAGGGGCCCAUGUCCCAUCAGCUUGUUGGUAGGGUAACGGCCUACCAAGGCUAUGACGGGUAGCUGGUCUGAGAGGACGACCAGCCACACUGGCACUGAGACACGGGCCAGACUCCUACGGGAGGCAGCAGUGAGGAAUCUUGCGCAAUGGACGAAAGUCUGACGCAGCGAUGCCGCGUGGGGGAUGAAGGCCUUCGGGUUGUAAACCCCUUUUAGUGGGAAAGAAACACCCGGAUGUUAACAGCAUCCGGGCUUGACGGUACCCACAGAAUAAGCCACGGCUAACUCUGUGCCAGCAGCCGCGGUAAGACAGAGGUGGCAAGCGUUGUCCGGAAUUACUGGGCGUAAAGCGCGCGUAGGUGGCUGGAUAAGUCCGGUGUGAAAUCCUUCGGCUUAACCGGGGAAUGGCAUCGGGGACUGUUCAGCUAGAGGACGGGAGAGGAGAGCGGAAUUCCCGGUGUAGCGGUGAAAUGCGUAGAGAUCGGGAGGAAGGCCGGUGGCGAAGGCGGCUCUCUGGAACGUCCCUGACGCUGAGGCGCGAAAGCGUGGGGAGCAAACAGGAUUAGAUACCCCCGUAGUCC